GACGAACGCUGGCGGCGUGCCUAAUACAUGCAAGUAGAACGCUGAAGAGAGGAGCUUGCUCUUCUUGGAUGAGUUGCGAACGGGUGAGUAACGCGUAGGUAACCUGCCUUGUAGCGGGGGAUAACUAUUGGAAACGAUAGCUAAUACCGCAUAACAAUGGAUGACCCAUGUCAUUUAUUUGAAAGGGGCAAAUGCUCCACUACAAGAUGGACCUGCGUUGUAUUAGCUAGUAGGUGAGGUAACGGCUCACCUAGGCGACGAUACAUAGCCGACCUGAGAGGGGGAUCGGCCGCACUGGGACUGAGACACGGCCCAGACUCCUACGGGAGGCAGCAGUAGGGAAUCUUCGGCAAUGGGGGCAACCCUGACCGAGAAACGCCGCGUGAGUGAAGAAGGUUUUCGGAUCGUAAAGCUCUGUUGUAAGUCAAGAACGAGUGUGAGAGUGGAAAGUUCACACUGUGACGGUAGCUUAACAGAAAGGGACGGCUAACUACGUG
rnacentral:rRNA from 1 species